GAUGAACGCUGACAGAAUGCUUAACACAUGCAAGUCAACUUGAACUUCGGUUUGGGUGGCGGACGGGUGAGUAACGCGUAAAGAACUUACCUCACAGAUAGGGACAACAUUUGGAAACGAAUGCUAAUACCUGAUAUUAUGAUUUUAGGGCAUCCUAGGAUUAUGAAAGCUAUAUGCGCUGUGAGAGAGCUUUGCGUCCCAUUAGCUAGUUGGAGAGGUAACGGCUCACCAAGGCGAUGAUGGGUAGCCGGCCUGAGAGGGUGAUCGGCCACAAGGGGACUGAGACACGGCCCUUACUCCUACGGGAGGCAGCAGUGGGGAAUAUUGGACAAUGGACCAAGAGUCUGAUCCAGCAAUUCUGUGUGCACGAUGAAGUUUUUCGGAAUGUAAAGUGCUUUCAGUUGGGAAGAAAAAAAUGACAGUACCAACAGAAGAAGUGACGGCUAAAUACGUGCCAGCAGCCGCGGUAAUACGUAUGUCACAAGCGUUAUCCGGAUUUAUUGGGCGUAAAGCGCGUCUAGGUGGUUAUAUAAGUCUGAUGUGAAAAUGCAGGGCUCAACUCUGUAUUGCGUCGGAAACUGUGUAACUAGAGUACUGGAGAGGUAAGCGGAACUACAAGUGUAGAGGUGAAAUCCGUAGAUAUUUGCAGGAAUGCCGAUGGGGAAGCCAGCUUACUGGACAGAUACUGACGCUGAAGCGCGAAAGCGUGGGUAGCAAACAGG
rnacentral:rRNA from 1 species